rnacentral:rRNA from 1 species
AGAGUUUGAUCAUGGCUCAGGAUGAACGCUAGCGGCAGGCCUAAUACAUGCAAGUCGAGCGGUAGAGAUACUUCGGGUAUUUUGAGAGCGGCGCACGGGUGCGUAACACGUAUGCAACCUACCUUAUACAGGGGGAUAGCCCGGAGAAAUCCGGAUUAAUACCCCAUGGUACUGAUGGAUGGCAUCGUUUAUCAGUUAAAGAUUUAUCGGUAUAAGAUGGGCAUGCGUCUGAUUAGCUAGUUGGUGGGGUAACGGCUCACCAAGGCGACGAUCAGUAGGGGUUCUGAGAGGAAGGUCCCCCACACUGGCACUGAGAUACGGGCCAGACUCCUACGGGAGGCAGCAGUAGGGAAUAUUGGGCAAUGGACGAGAGUCUGACCCAGCCAUGCCGCGUGCAGGAAGACGGCCUAUUGGGUUGUAAACUGCUUUUAUACGGGAAGAAAAGGCCCAUGCGUGGGACAUUGCCGGUACCGUAUGAAUAAGCACCGGCUAACUCCGUGCCAGCAGCCGCGGUAAUACGGAGGGUGCAAGCGUUGUCCGGAUUUAUUGGGUUUAAAGGGUGCGUAGGCGGCUGAUUAAGUCAGCGGUGAAAGACUUCGGCUCAACCGGAGCAGUGCCGUUGAUACUGGUUAGCUUGAGUGCUGCAGGGGUACAUGGAAUUGAUGGUGUAGCGGUGAAAUGCAUAGAUACCAUCAGGAACACCGAUAGCGAAGGCAUUGUACUGGGCAGCAACUGACGCUGAUGCACGAAAGCGUGGGGAGCGAACAGGAUUAGAUACCCUGGUAGUCCACGCCGUAAACGAUGAUUACUCGCUGUUAUGCCUUUUGGUGUAUGCGGCCAAGCGAAAGCGUUAAGUAAUCCACCUGG